GGGGAAGUAGCUCAGUGGUAGAGCACUUGUCUAGCAAGCAGGAGGUCCUGGAUUCCAUCCCAGCCCCA
rnacentral:tRNA from 1 species